AUUGAACGCUGGCGGCAUGCCUAACACAUGCAAGUCGAACGAGGGUAGCAAUACCUUAGUGGCGGACGGGUGAGGAAUACGUAGGAAUUUGCCCUUAAGUGGGGGAUAGCCCGGGGAAACCCGGAUUAAUACCGCAUGAUCUCGAAAGAGCAAAGUGGGGGAUCGCAAGACCUCACGCUUUUGGAGAAGCCUACGUCGGAUUAGCUAGUUGGUGAGGUAAUGGCUCACCAAGGCUACGAUCCGUAACUGGUCUGAGAGGAUGAUCAGUCA
rnacentral:rRNA from 1 species